AUACUGUGCUAAGAACUGGAGAUACAAAUACCAGGAGGCGAUUUCUGAAUGCUAGCUCUUUGAAGAAUGGAAUCCUAUAAAAGGAGCCUUUGUUAUAACAUGCUGUGACUCAAGAGGACCAGCUCCUGCAUGUAUUCCUUACUUCAGACUGCAAGAUAACAAAGAGAAUCUCAUUAUCCAGCUACCUCCCACCUUGGGCACUGGUGCCUUGCCCCUGGCUGCCCUCCUCUCCCUGAAUAGAGAGAGAAGCCAGGAUGACAGUUUUCUUCAACCAUUUCCUGAGAGUUUCUACAUUGAACUCUCUCUUGUUCCAAAGGAGAGCAGGGAGGCAAAACAGCUGCAUCUCUGUGUAUACAAUCUGCUCCUUGAUUGCCCCACUUUUCUGUGGAGAAGAGGGAAAAAACUGGUUGUUAAACAUUUACUGAAGGGAAUACAGAGCGAGUUUAAAUAGUUACUAAAUGGACCUGAGGAUCUAGACAUGAAAAGGACCUAAUCGAUCAUCUAAUCCAGCCUCCUCAUUUUUGGCUUGAAGAAAUUGAAGAUCAGAAAUAUUUGCUGCCUUUUUUUCAGGUCACACACAUAGUAAGUAAAAGUGCUGUGAUUUGAACCCAGGCUGCCAAAGUCCUAAUUAAUGUCUCUUUCCACAGUACCAUCCUGUUUCAUUUCGUUUGUACAAAAAUAGUCCAGAAUUGUAUACAGUAUGAUUUGUUGUGGGUCUAUACUUCUAUUUUUAUUCAAAGAUAUUUUAUUUUCCCAAUUACAUGUAAUAAUUAUCAACAUACAUUUUCUGAAAUUAUAAGAUCCAAAUUGUCUUCCUUCCUCUUUUCCCUCCCCUCCUCCAGGAGAGAGAUGGUAAACAAUUUGAUCUGGGUUAUAUAUGUAUUAUCAGGCAUAACAUAUUUCCAUAUUGGCCAUUGUUGUAAGAGAAUACUCAUAUAAAAUCAAAACAUCAAAAUAAAACCAUAAAUAAACUUUAAAAUGUGAAAGAU
rnacentral:lncRNA from 1 species